UCCCACAACCCACAACCAGCCCUUCAACAGUAUUGAGUAGUUUUAUACCGAUAUAAAACUUAUUAUGUUAAAACUAGUAACAAGAAGAAGGCCUUCUCUUUAAUGCCCCCUUAAAUCAGUACGGACAAACCACUGAUAAUUAACGUCCCUGACCCCCCUGUAAAAACUUCAACAAGAAAAACUUACUGACCCCACCGUUAACCUAACACAAGAGCAUUCCAAGAAAGAUUAUAAAAAAAAGAAGGAACUCGGCAAACACCCGCCUCGCCUGUUUACCAAAAACACCGCCUCUUGUAGACAUAAGAGGUCCAGCCUGCCCAGUGACAAUGUUCAACGGCCGCGGUACCCUGACCGUGCGAAGGUAGCGUAAUCACUUGCCCCCUAAUUAGGGGCUAGUAUGAAUGGCUACACGAAGGCUAAACUGUCUCCUUUUUUAGAUCAGUGAAACUAAUCCCCCCGUGAAGAAGCGGGGAUACACCUAUAAGACGAGAAGACCCUAUGGAGCUUAAAACGAAGCAACAAUUGCAAAGCCUAUAUUAAAAAUAACCCGACAGGACAGCUCAAUGAUUGCUAGUUUUGGGUUGGGGCAACCACGGAGAAAAAUAAAACCCCCGCGUUGAAAAGAACACGACCUUAAGCAAAAAGCUACAACUUUAAGCAUCAACAAAUUGACGACAUUGACCCAAUAUUUUGACCAACGAAACAAGUUACCCUAGGGAUAACAGCGCUAUCUACUUCGAGAGCACACAUCUACAAGUAGGCUUACGACCUCGAUGUUGGAUCAGGGUACCCCAGUGGUGUAGCAGCUUCUUAA
rnacentral:rRNA from 1 species